rnacentral:lncRNA from 1 species
AUUUCGGAUGCCCUUGAUCAUUCACUUCAUAAGAUUUUCCACUGAGACAAAGGGUGGCAUUGACCGCUUCCAGAUUCCACCUGUUGGCUACUUCCAUGAUACUGUACUCACAACUCUCCCCCUCUCCAAGAGUUAAGGGAUGACCUAGAUAAGAAUUAAUGUCAUCCCUUCCAAAUGAAACAAUCUUCCCCCUUACCCUGGACCGGUAAAUGAAAGUCGUACCCUCCUCGCGAUGCAUCGCAU